UCUCUGGUGGCUCAAUGGUAAAGAAUCUGCCUGCAAUGAAGAAGACCUGGGUUCAAUCCCUGGGUAGAGAA
rnacentral:tRNA from 1 species